rnacentral:rRNA from 1 species
CGCCUACGGGAGGCAGCAGACGGGAAUAUUGCGCAAUGGAGGAAACUCUGACGCAGUGACGCCGCGUAUAGGAAGAAGGUUUUCGGUAUGUAAAGCUCUAUCAGCAGGGAAGAAGAUGACGGUACCUGAGUAAGAAGCCCCGGCUAACUACGUGCCAGCAGCCGCGGUAAUACGUAGGGGGCAAGCGUUAUCCGGAUUUACUGGGUGUAAAGGGAGCGUAGACGGCUGCGCAAGUCUGAAGUGAAAGCCCGGGGCUCAACCCCGGGACUGCUUUGGAAACUGUGUAGCUAGAGUGCUGGAGAGGG